GCGAUGGUGGUAUAGUGUGUGACCAUAGCUGCCUUCCAAGCAGUUGAACCCGGGUUCGAUCCCGGCCAUCGCA
rnacentral:tRNA from 1 species